AUUGAACGCUGGCGGCAGGCCUAACACAUGCAAGUCGAGCGGCAGCGGGAAAGUAGCUUGCUACUUUUGCCGGCGAGCGGCGGACGGGUGAGUAAUGCCUGGGAAAUUGCCCAGUCGAGGGGGAUAACAGUUGGAAACGACUGCUAAUACCGCAUACGCCCUACGGGGGAAAGCAGGGGACCUUCGGGCCUUGCGCGAUUGGAUAUGCCCAGGUGGGAUUAGCUAGUUGGUGAGGUAAUGGCUCACCAAGGCGACGAUCCCUAGCUGGUCUGGGAGGCUGAUCAGCCACACUUGAACUGAGACACUGUCCAGAGUCCUACGGGAGGCAGCAGUGGGGAAUAUUGCACAAUGGGGGAAACCCUGAUGCAGCCAUGCCGCGUGUGUGAAGAAGGCCUUCGGGUUGUAAAGCACUUUCAGCGAGGAGGAAAGGUUGAUGCCUAAUACGUAUCAACUGUGACGUUACUCGCAGAAGAAGCACCGGCUAACUCCGUGCCAGCCGCCGCGGUAAGAC
rnacentral:rRNA from 1 species